GAAAGCGGUGUGCUUGGAAACUUGCUCGCACCGUUUGGACGGGGGCUGAUUGUAAAUAAAACAGCAAAGAUAAAUCGCUGC
rnacentral:ncRNA from 1 species